rnacentral:tRNA from 1 species
GCGCGCUUAGCUCAAUGGCUAGAGCAUCUCGUUUACACCGAGGGGGUUGGGGGUUCGAGUCCCUCAGC